UUGAAGGUUGGGUAACACUAACUGGAGGACCGAACCGACUAAUGUUGAAAAAUUAGCGGAUGACCUGUGGCUGGGGGUGAAAGGCCAAUCAAACCGGGAGAUAGCUGGUUCUCCCCGAAAGCUAUUUAGGUAGCGCCUCGUGAAUUCAUCUCCGGGGGUAGAGCACUGUUUCGGCUAGGGGGCCAUCCCGGCUUACCAACCCGAUGCAAACUGCGAAUACCGGAGAAUGUUAUCACGGGAGACACACGGCGGGUGCUAACGUCCGUCGUGAAGAGGGAAACAACCCAGACCGCCAGCUAAGGUCCCAAAGUCAUGGUUAAGUGGGAAACGAUGUGGGAAGGCCCAGACAGCCAGGAUGUUGGCUUAGAAGCAGCCAUCAUUUAAAGAAAGCGUAAUAGCUCACUGGUCGAGUCGGCCUGCGCGGAAGAUGUAACGGGGCUAAACCAUGCACCGAAGCUGCGGCAGCGAACGUAUCACCCAAGACAACUUUACGGAGUUGACGAUUGACGGAGCGAAGCGACGUCAAAGCGUUCAUUAAAGUCGAGUUGGCUUAGGGAUACGUUCGUUGGGUAGGGGAGCGUUCUGUAAGCCUGUGAAGGUGUGUCGUGAGGCAUGCUGGAGGUAUCAGAAGUGCGAAUGCUGACAUAAGUAACGAUAAAGCGGGUGAAAAGCCCGCUCGCCGGAAGACCAAGGGUUCCUGUCCAACGUUAAUCGGGGCAGGGUGAGUCGACCCCUAAGGCGAGGCCGAAAGGCGUAGUCGAUGGGAAACGGGUUAAUAUUCCCGUACUUGGUGUUACUGCGAAGGGGGGACGGAGAAGGCUAUGUUGGCCGGGCGACGGUUGUCCCGGUUUAAGCGUGUAGGUGUGUGUUCCAGGUAAAUCCGGUUCACUUUAACACUGAGGCGUGACGACGAGGCACUACGGUGCUGAAGCAACAAAUGCCCUGCUUCCAGGAAAA
rnacentral:rRNA from 1 species